GAGGGGAUAGCUCAGUGGUAGAGUGCCUGUCUAGUAUGCACAAGGUACUGAGUUAAAUUCCCAGUACUUCCA
rnacentral:tRNA from 1 species